rnacentral:rRNA from 1 species
AGUGAACGCUGGCGGUAGGCCUAACACAUGCAAGUCGAACGGCAGCACAGUAAGAGCUUGCUCUUACGGGUGGCGAGUGGCGGACGGGUGAGGAAUACAUCGGAAUCUACUUUUUCGUGGGGGAUAACGUAGGGAAACUUACGCUAAUACCGCAUACGACCUACGGGUGAAAGCAGGGGAUCUUCGGACCUUGCGCGAUUGAAUGAGCCGAUGUCGGAUUAGCUAGUUGGCGGGGUAAAGGCCCACCAAGGCGACGAUCCGUAGCUGGUCUGAGAGGAUGGUAGGCCGCACGAGAGGUGAAACACGGUCAAUGCUACUGCGGGAGGCAGCAGAGGGGAAUGGUAGGCAGUGGGGGGGAACCUGGUCCAACCGGACCGAGUGGGUGGAGGAGGCGUUCGGGUUGUAAAGACCUUUUGUGGGGAGAGAAAAGCAGCAGGUUAAGACGCAGCGGGACUGACGGUACCCGAUAAAGAAGCACCGGCUAACUACGUG